CAGCUGGCACCCUUAGGAAUGUAGCAAAUGUUUCCUGUAGUACUUCUUAUUGAAAAAAGUGCUUCAGCACCAAAAUCCAAGUAGUUUUACAGAGUGUUUGAGCCCCCAGCAUGGAUUCUGUUAAACUCUUCACUGAACCAGG